rnacentral:rRNA from 1 species
UGCGAAGGGGGCUAGCGUUGCUCGGAAUUACUGGGCGUAAAGCGCACGUAGGCGGUCUUUUAAGUCGGGGGUGAAAUCCUGGAGCUCAACUCCAGAACUGCCUUCGAUACUGGAAGACUCGAGUCCGGGAGAGGUGAGUGGAACUGGCGAGUGUAGCGGUGAAAUGCGCAGAGUAUCAGGAGGAACACCGAUGGCGAAGGCAGCUCGCUGGGACGGUGACUGACGCUGAGACGCGAAAGCGUGGGGAGCAAACAGG